CUUUCUCCUAGCAUCUUUUUGGUCCAUGACGCCAGCAAAUGUAAUCAGCAUAAUGUAUCCAAACGGAAAAGUAAAAUGAGAGUCAAACAAUUGAAAAAAAAGAUAUGUAUUGAAGGAAGGAAAGUAAGAAAAAUGAGAUUCAAUUUUGUGAACUUGACCAAUUAGCAUUCACUUGGGAUCACUAAAAUCUACCUUAGAUCAAAUACUGUAGGUCUUUGCUUUAGCAAAACCAAUUCAAUUGCAGCCACAGAUGAUGGUCUUGUAUCCUGGAUUAAUCUUUGAUUUUGAAGGAAACUACUUCUAAGAACCGCCUGAAAUAGAAAUAUAGAAUUAGUGAAGGUAAAUAAACAAUAUUAAAUUUCAGAGAAACUUACAAGCAACCAAUUGCAUAACACUACCUGAUGCAGUAAUACGACAAUAGGAGAAUUGCAAGUUUGAGUAUCAUCUUCAGGUAAAUAUUUUACCUUUAUAAGCAUUUUGCAAUUUGGUUAAACAUAACCCUUCAAUCACAACAAAUGUUUGUGAAAGAAAAUUAUUUCACAAAAAAUUUAUCCUCCAAUAAAUUAGAAGGAAUUAUGACAUAAUGGCAGCUCCAAAUAGAGAAGGAAGAAAGUUUACGAUUGAGCGGAUAAAAAGGAUGCAAUGCUCUUAGUGGAGACAUUUGGGCCAAUGUUCUCCAAGUACAGUAAUGAAUUAGAAUGACAGCUACAUGAACACUAACAUAUAAUAUGAGAUAGAUUGAGAUAAUCAGAGAGGAAUAAGUCAAUGAAGAUUAACAAAAUUAGCUUUCUAUUUGUUUCCACAUCCAUAUAAUGAGUUAGUGUUUCCUUGAGUUUAUACAUUGUUAUUAGACCGUGACUAUUCUACAAAGACAAGUUAUAAUUGCACUCUCUUUUAUAAGAACCAGCUGUUUGCAUAUAUAUUUUAUAGUUGGUCCCAAGCCCCCUCGGGAAAGUAAGAGGAUCCGCUGUAGGUUGACAGCUUGUGUAACACUUUACGACCUAGAAAAAUGGAUCUCACGCUUAAUUGAAUUUAACAAAAAAAUCAUUAAUGGUAAUCACCUAAAUGGAAUUACGAUGAGCAAAUUCUGUAACUUUCUUCCACUUAGACAACUUCAAUAGUUCUAUUUUCCUUUCAAUCUAAGACCUCUGCAAAAGAUCAAGAAGAGUUUGUCUGCCACAUAAUCUUCAAUUAAGCCUUCGUGCACCUAGAUUGGCUACCAAUUCAUAAUCUGUAAACCAACUUCACCAACUGCAUCUAUAUGUGAGUGAUAACUGCUUCUCUGUUGGAUAUUCAUCUGAACCCACUCUCUAGCAGUUCUCACCCUUUCACACUAAUUCUCACCAAGCCAUUGUGGCUUGGACAUGCUAUGCAGACCAUUAGAUGUAUGACUCUUAACACCACCUUUCAUCCAUUUAUGAAAAAUUUGAUUCAUUCUUUCACACUUAGCUUCUUCCAAAUCAGUAGAUUGUUCCGUAAUAGCACUGUUACUAUCCUCUUGCUCAUUCUCUGAUCUUAUCCGACCUUGAUUCUUAAUCUCGCUGGUAGCUUCAAAAGUAUCAUUCCAUUAUCACUCCCUUGCCUAUCCAACGUGAAAGUACCUGAUGGGAUCUUGAGCUUUAACGACUUUGACCUAUUCCUUGUAAAAAGCUCUCUCUAAGUGAUCUACAUUAAAUUUAGGAAAUGUUAGAAAAUGAAGAGCAUAGAGAAAAUCCAAGGGGAUUAGAGAAUUACUUAUACAAAAAAAAAUGAUAUAUGAUAUAAAUUUGCUAUCAUAUCUUGUUUGUUACCCAACACAGUGGAUUUUUCACUGAUUCUCUCAUUUCCAACAAAACAUUCAUUUUUUAAUUCAUCCUCCUCUUUUGAGCUUAAAAAAGUAGAUGAAGUCAGGGGGCAUAACAAAAUAGAAAAUUUCAACAAAAAACCUACCCAAUAGGAAAUGAAAAUAUUUCAUUAUAAAAUUCAAAUCAGAGCUAUCAAGAAAGAUAAAUGCAUAAAAUUUCAAUGAUCUUACCUUGAAUUGCAAAUUACUGUUAAUUGCAUCACUUACAAGCUCCCAAUUGAAACCCAAAUCAAGUACCAGAAUAAUAAGUGCCUAAAAGAUCAAUAUCAACAUUGAUGUGAUCAUGUCUCUAGAUGUUAAAAAAUAAAAAAACAUAUCCCAAUUUUUAAGUGCCAGUAGAUGUAUGUGUAUGUGUGUAUAUCUGUGCUAUGUACAUGUAUGUAUGUAGACUGACCUGGUCCUCAAAAACCAUGUAGAUAAAUGAGAUUAUGAAAUACAUGAAUUUCUGCAAAUUUCUCUACAUUGGGAAAUUUUGUGUAGUCAAUUUCUUGGAAAAAAAUAUGAUUAGUGUAAAGAAGGAGAAAUAAGAUCAUAUAUCUAAAAAUAAACCAAAUUAAAGAAAUUAAUUCAAUUAAAAAAAGAAUUCUAUUGUCACCUCUGUAAAUCAUAAUCAAGAGGUAGAUGAUGAAGAUGAGAUAUCUCUAUUUUCCAAAGAAAGAAUUUCCUUGUAAACAAUAUUUUUUGUACGUGUUGUGUAAACUGUUUGUAUUUAAUGGUUCCAUUAGAACUUUUAUAAAUUUGCUUGCUUUUGCUCUUAAUAAUGCUACAUAAAGCUGACUAUGACAAAAAACUGGUUCUAGAAGGUACAAUCCAACAAAAUCAAGUGUUUAACCUUGUACUUUAUUUAUUGUCAUUGCAAAACAUGGUCAUAUUAAAAAUUGAGUCCUUCUGAAUGGAAUUGAGUUUCAAUCAUUUUUCAGAGGUAUAAAAGGAAUCCUUGGUAAGAAGAUAUACUUUUCACAAUAUUCGCUAGAUGUAAUUUCAGCAAGAAUUACGUUCUUUUCAAAUUUACGACAACUAAGACGUGUCCCAUUACAUAACCCCUCAAAAGGAUUGAUAUUUCGUAAUAACAUCACAAGACCAUUUACUUUAAGUUUCAAUUUAUAUAAUGGAAUACCUUUUGAAGUCAAGCUAUUUAAAAAAUCUUCCUAUAGACUCUGUUUUGAUUUAUCAAUUACUUCAUCAAAACUAUAAUAUGUAUAAAGUUGACCAGGAAUUUGUUCGAGUAAAAUUCUAUUAAUAUGAUCAACAAAUUUAUUUGUAGGCGUAAGAAUUACUCUAGUUGCCAUCGUAUCUAGAUUAUGAGCAUAUGCAUAUAUAUUCGAGAAAACAUGAUGUAUUAAUUCCUUCAGAGAUGUGUGCUUCACUAAACUUUUAUAAUGUGGUAGUUUAAAAAACAUAAAGAAGAUAUUUAAAACAUAACUACAAUAUAAAGUAUGUGUUUUACUUAAGAAUCCCUUAAAUAAAU
rnacentral:lncRNA from 1 species